UUCUUGCCAGAAAGUUUUCCUUGUAACAAGA
rnacentral:piRNA from 1 species